AAAUUGAAGAGUUUGAUCAUGGCUCAGAUUGAACGCUGGCGGCAGGCCUAACACAUGCAAGUCGAGCGGUAGCACAGAGAGCUUGCUCUCGGGUGACGAGCGGCGGACGGGUGAGUAAUGUCUGGGAAACUGCCUGAUGGAGGGGGAUAACUACUGGAAACGGUAGCUAAUACCGCAUAAUGUCGCAAGACCAAAGUGGGGGACCUUCGGGCCUCAUGCCAUCAGAUGUGCCCAGAUGGGAUUAGCUAGUAGGUGGGGUAAUGGCUCACCUAGGCGACGAUCCCUAGCUGGUCUGAGAGGAUGACCAGCCACACUGGAACUGAGACACGGUCCAGACUCCUACGGGAGGCAGCAGUGGGGAAUAUUGCACAAUGGGCGCAAGCCUGAUGCAGCCAUGCCGCGUGUGUGAAGAAGGCCUUCGGGUUGUAAAGCACUUUCAGCGGGGAGGAAGGCGAUAAGGUUAAUAACCUUGGCGAUUGACGUUACCCGCAGAAGAAGCACCGGCUAACUCCGUGCCAGCAGCCGCGGUAAUACGGAGGGUGCAAGCGUUAAUCGGAAUUACUGGGCGUAAAGCGCACGCAGGCGGUCUGUCAAGUCGGAUGUGAAAUCCCCGGGCUCAACCUGGGAACUGCAUUCGAAACUGGCAGGCUAGAGUCUUGUAGAGGGGGGUAGAAUUCCAGGUGUAGCGGUGAAAUGCGUAGAGAUCUGGAGGAAUACCGGUGGCGAAGGCGGCCCCCUGGACAAAGACUGACGCUCAGGUGCGAAAGCGUGGGGAGCAAACAGGAUUAGAUACCCUGGUAGUCCACGCCGUAAACGAUGUCGAUUUGGAGGUUGUGCCCUUGAGGCGUGGCUUCCGGAGCUAACGCGUUAAAUCGACCGCCUGGGGAGUACGGCCGCAAGGUUAAAACUCAAAUGAAUUGACGGGGGCCCGCACAAGCGGUGGAGCAUGUGGUUUAAUUCGAUGCAACGCGAAGAACCUUACCUGGUCUUGACAUCCACAGAACUUUCCAGAGAUGGAUUGGUGCCUUCGGGAACUGUGAGACAGGUGCUGCAUGGCUGUCGUCAGCUCGUGUUGUGAAAUGUUGGGUUAAGUCCCGCAACGAGCGCAACCCUUAUCCUUUGUUGCCAGCGGUUAGGCCGGGAACUCAAAGGAGACUGCCAGUGAUAAACUGGAGGAAGGUGGGGAUGACGUCAAGUCAUCAUGGCCCUUACGACCAGGGCUACACACGUGCUACAAUGGCAUAUACAAAGAGAAGCGACCUCGCGAGAGCAAGCGGACCUCAUAAAGUAUGUCGUAGUCCGGAUUGGAGUCUGCAACUCGACUCCAUGAAGUCGGAAUCGCUAGUAAUCGUAGAUCAGAAUGCUACGGUGAAUACGUUCCCGGGCCUUGUACACACCGCCCGUCACACCAUGGGAGUGGGUUGCAAAAGAAGUAGGUAGCUUAACCUUCGGGAGGGCGCUUACCACUUUGUGAUUCAUGACUGGGGUGAAGUCGUAACAAGGUAACCGUAGGGGAACCUGCGGUUGGAUCACCUCCUUACCUUAAAGAA
rnacentral:rRNA from 1 species